UUGUCUUCAGGGCAGGGUGCAAUUCCCGAUCGGCGGUGAUAGUCCGCAAGCUAGCAUAAAAAUGCUGGCAGAUUUGGUUAAAUACCAAAACCGACAGUUAAAGUCUGGAUGAAAGAAGGCG
rnacentral:ncRNA from 1 species